AACGAACGCUGGCGGCGCGUCUUAAGCAUGCAAGUCGAACGGCAAGAGAGGAGCUUGCUUCUCUCCUAGAGUGGCGGACUGGUGAGGAACACGUGGGUAAUCUACCCUUAAGAUGGGGAUAGCUGCUAGAAAUAGCAGGUAAUACCGAAUACACUCGGCAUAUCACAAGAGGUGUUGAGGAAAGGAAGCUACGGCUUCGCUUGAGGAUGAGCUUGCGUCCCAUUAGCUAGUUGGUGAGGUAAAGGCCCACCAAGGCGACGAUGGGUAUCCGGCCUGAGAGGGUGAACGGACACAUUGGGACUGAGAUACGGCCCAAACUCCUACGGGAGGCAGCAGCUAAGAAUAUUCCGCAAUGGACGGAAGUCUGACGGAGCGACGCUGCGUGGAUGAAGAAGGCUGAAAAGUUGUAAAAUCCUUUUGUUGAUGAAGAAUAAGGGUGAGAGGGAAUGCUCAUCUGAUGACGGUAAUCGACGAAUAAGCCCCGGCUAAUUACGUG
rnacentral:rRNA from 1 species